rnacentral:tRNA from 1 species
GCCCCGCAGUGGCGCACACCAAAAUGCAAGUUUGGAGACGCACCCCUAAGGGUGCCGGGGCUUCUCCCGUUUUAAACGGGACGGGAGAAGC